CCGAGCCAAGCCGCGCGGCGCGGGCCGGGGCGGUCCUUCCCCCCGAGCCAUCGGCGGGAGCGGAUCGAGCGGCGCGCGGCGGCCGCGGGCCCGAGCCAGGCUCUGGCUGCGCCUGGGCCCGUCCGGCCUAAGCGGGGACGCGGCGGACCUGGGCGCCCCCCAAACGGACGUGGCUCGGGGAGAGCCUCUCGCGCGCGCCGCGCCGCUACCCCUGCGGCACCCGUCCCUCGGCCUAGCGACCCAGCAUUUAAGGACGCCGGAGCCAGCCGGGCGCCAGCUCGCAGACUUCAUAAACUGCGUGACCGGGAGGGGAGAGUUUGAAACCUGGCUCCGGAAAAGGCCAGGCCCCUGCCCAGCCCGUCUGGACUGCGCCUCAUCCAAGCACUGCACACUCCUUGGGGCAACUAGACCAGGGCACACCCUUCAUAUAGUACGUGCAUCUGAAUUCUGCUUCAAGCCUGGCUUAAGACGGCAGGUACCAGGAAAGGUCCCAGGAAGCAGAGUCCAAGGAUAAGAUUCCAGGCGACAGAUGCUGGAAUUGAGAGCAAUCAAUUGAGGAGGAGGAUGGACAAAAUACAGUCGGAGACUGUGUCCUUCCCAUGAACAUAAGGAGAUGACAAGGGAGUCAGAAGACAAAAGCAGACAAAAGAGCAAUGAUGUAUAAUGGAAUGAGCUUUCAAAUGAAGGAGGCAAAACACAAAGAACCAUAUAACAUCUCAAAUUUAAAAUAAUUUAUAUCUACCAGGAACAAAGCCAUAAUGUGUGUUAUUGCCAUAAUGAUUAAAUGUGGUUCUUGUGUUUUGGACCAAUGAAGAAACACAAGAAUAAAAUAAGAUGAGAGAGAGAGAGAGAGAGAGAG
rnacentral:lncRNA from 1 species